rnacentral:lncRNA from 1 species
CCCACUGCCCACCACCUCCCCAAAGUGUGCGCUGCCGUCAUCGCCCUCACCAGCACUGAUUGUGGACGGGGCGGAUGAGGGGUCUUGGGAGGCCGUGGACCACACCAUAGCCUCAUUUGCACCUAACGGGGGCCGGUUUGGGAAGCUCGAGGUGUUGGACAGCGAGCUGCGUGCGGAAGACGUGCAGCUUCUGCUGCUGAGACUCCAGGAGCGGCGCGUCAGGACGGGCGGCGAGGGCGACACGCGCGCCGAGACUCACGGGUCGAAGGUUCAUCUGUACAUCACGGAUGACUGCAAACUCAACAGUGAAAGUGUUCAGCACAAAUAAAUGAUCGGCUAUUGCAACAGCGGUCAGGAGAGGCGAAGUAAAUUGCCGCAACAUCCGAAUGUAGUAACACAUGAUCGAUGCAGCGCACGAUCGACGCAACAUGCGUUCCAUGAAACACUUCUCCCUUAUACAGAUUGUGAAAUUAUAACUUUCUCCUCUUAGUACGCUACUCACAAUACUCACAAGCGACAAAUCUUUCAUAAUUAAGACGAACGUUUUCCAUACAAAGGAGCAGAUCUUCUAGCAAAUGCAGGAACAUAGACCAAUUGUGCACCUCCGUCGUUUCGGCUUUGUUGAACGUUCCAUGUUGUCGAAACUAUUGCUGCGUGUCCACAGACAUUAAAUUGAUCCACAACUUAUGACGAUGAAUGUGUCCAUAAUUUACAUGUCAUCACAAUACGAA